rnacentral:rRNA from 1 species
UACGUAGGGGGCAAGCGUUGUCCGGAAUCAUUGGGCGUAAAGAGCGUGUAGGCGGCCCGGUAAGUCCGCUGUGAAAGUCGGGGGCUCAACCCUCGAAUGCCGGUGGAUACUGUCGGGCUAGAGUGCGGAAGAGGCGAGUGGAAUUCCUGGUGUAGCGGUGAAAUGCGCAGAUAUCAGGAGGAACACCGAUUGCGAAGGCAGCUCGCUGGGACGUGACUGACGCUGAGACGCGAAAGCGUGGGGAGCAAACAGG